rnacentral:rRNA from 1 species
UCAAAUGAAUUGACGGGGCCGCACAAGCGGUGGAGCAUGUGGUUAAUUCGAAGCAACGCGAAGAACCUUACCAGGUCUUGACAUCCCCUGACAACCCAAGAGAUUUGGGCGUUCCCCCUUCGGGGGGGACAGGGUGACAGGUGGUGCAUGGUUGUCGUCAGCUCGUGUCGUGAGAUGUUGGGUUAAGUCCCGCAACGAGCGCAACCCUCGCCUCUAGUUGCCAGCAUUCGGUUGGGCACUCUAGAGGGACUGCCGGCGACAAGUCGGAGGAAGGUGGGGAUGACGUCAAAUCAUCAUGCCCCUUAUGACCUGGGCUACACACGUGCUACAAUGGGCGGUACAAAGGGCUGCGAACCCGCGAGGGGGGCGGAUCCCGAAAGCCGGUCGUAGUUCGGAUCGGGGUCUGGAACCCGACCCCGUGAAGCCGGAUUCGCUAGUAAUCGCGCAUCAGCCAUGGCGCGGUGAAUACGUUCCCGGGCCUU